GGGAAUGUGGCUUAGUGGUAGAGUGCUUGCCUAGCAUGCAUGAAGCCCUGAGUUCAGUUCCUCAGUACCA
rfam:Dipodomys ordii contig_40446, whole genome shotgun sequence.